AAGUAACGAUUAGAUUAUGCGAUGUAAUAUAUUGCUAGGUCAUAAGCUUAGCAAGAAGCCCACCAAAACAAAACGAGAGGAAUGUGUUCAGUGUUGUAAGUUAUAUUAGAAAUUUUCCUUUUGGAUCAUUUCCCAUUAUGUUUUUGCAACACUUACUGGGUUUUGCUUUCAAGAUUGUCUCUCUUUUCCAACAUUUUGGUGAUGUUAAAUAACUUAACCAUGCCAUAGUCACUUCACUUUCGCUUUGUCAAAACUGGGUCUAUUUUAAAGAUAUCUUAUUACAGCACAAUAUAGUGAAAUGUUCGAGCCUUGUGGUGAUAUGUUGAGUGCUGGUUUAAUGUUUGAUCAAAUGCCUGAAUGAAACUUGGUUUUUGGACAAGUAUUAUGUCUUCUGUAUAAAAAUGGUCUGAGUUUGUUUUGUUUUAUGUGCCCGUUUUGGGUUUCGGGCCAAUGAGGUUGGUUUCUCUGUGAGCUUAAGGUGUGUGGAGUUGCUAGUGACUUCUAAUGGUUAUGUUUAGGCAGAUUGUGAAAUGUGGGUUUCAGUUAUAUAGUGCUUUUGUAGUGCUUCAGUUCUUGGUAUGUAUGAUAAAUACGUUGACAUUUAAUGUGGUUGUGAGUUUUUAAAUGGCAUACCGUUGUGGGGGAAGAUCUAUGGCGUUAAAGUUCAAAACUUGAAUAGGCUGUUAGGUUGUUUCAUGAGAUGGGUGGUCUAGUUUACGUCCAAAUUCUUUAUUUAUUCUUUUCACUUUAAAUUAGGUGCUAACUUUGUUGGUUUCUGACCUUGUGAGAUUUUUUCCUUAUGUAAUUGUAAAGGAUGGUUUAAAAAUGAUGUUGUUGAGGGUGGAGGCCUUUGUUGAUGUGAAAUGGGGAUUCAGAAAUGAUGCUUGUGAAGUGUUUUGAAUCUGACUAUAUAUCACUAAGCAUCUAUGGUUGAUCUCCUUGGUCGGGCUGAGCAAGUGGACAGGCAGAGGCUUUGAUAAAGAACACUUCAUCUGAUUCAAAAUCGAAAUCUCUCCUUUUGAAGAAUUGCUUGCAUGUCGAUAAAUUUAAAAUCGGAUUAGAUCAAGAAGAGUGGUGGAAACGUUAGAGAUUUAGAAGGAACAUCCAUUCCGCCAAUUGCUGUAACCAGGCACCAACAUGGCCCAACAGAAUCACUCUACUCUGUCGCAGCCCCAAAAACAGCAUUAAGAUUAAGGUUAUUUUAAUAUGACAUCAUAUGAAUUUGAUUCGUUUCUAGGAUUCCCACAAGCGUCCAUCCAAAACUCAUCUACUUAAUUGAGGGAACUGAUGGCUUAUAAACUGGAUGCAAGUAUUACUCGCUAGCUGCAGUUGCUUCAACGUCCAAUCCAACAAGGGGAAACUCAAAUGUGAAUGCUUAAGAUAAGAAGAAAAAGAAGAUUGGUUCCUCCAAGGUUGCUAAAACCACAACUACUGGAAGAAAGAAUAACAUUGAUCCACAGCAAACACGGAAAAGCAAGGGCAAGGUCCCUUGGAGAGUUUAUCCAUGUUUUAUGUCCCAAAUUUUUUUGCAUGGAAAUAUAGGCUAUACGUCUGUCAAAUAGUGGAACACUGUUGAAAUUUGGUUUUGCUUGAGGUAUUUUGUUUAGUUUGUUUUUGUACCACCAGCUCUUGAAAUUUGCAAAUGCUGUAGUCCCACAGAAAAUCAAAGAGUAUCGAAGCUGAGCUGAUAAUUGUGCAUUCCCUAGUGUUUUGCUGUAGUAUAAGGAACUAGGUUGUUUAUGUAAACUCAAAACAGAUUUCAUUUGAUUUUGUGAGGUACUUGUUCCCUCGGCCUAGAUAUAUAUGAAAUAUUUGUAAUUACACCAAACAUUAAGCGGUUAAAAUGUAUAUGCUUUU